GAGAAUGAGGACGGGGCUGGGGAUGCGGGCCAGCCCAAGUCCUCCCAGGGCAAAUAGGCUCC
rfam:Papio anubis isolate 1X1155 chromosome X, whole genome shotgun sequence.